AACGAACGCUGGCGGCAGGCUUAACACAUGCAAGUCGAGCGAGACCUUCGGGUCUAGCGGCGGACGGGUGAGUAACGCGUGGGAACGUGCCCUUCUCUACGGAAUAGCCCCGGGAAACUGGGAGUAAUACCGUAUACGCCCUUUUGGGGCAAGAUUUCUCGGAGGAGGAUCGGCCCGCGUUGGACUAGGUUGUUGGUGGGGUAAUGGCCCACCAAGCCGAGGCUCCAUAGCUGGUUUGAGAGGAAGAGCAGCCACACUGGGGCGGGGACACGGCCCAGACUACUACGGGAGGCAGGAGAGGGGAAUCUUAGACAAUGGGGGCAACCAAGAACGAGCCAUGCCGCGUGAGUGAUGAAGGCCUUAGGGUUGUAAAGCUCUUUCAGCUGGGAAGAUAAUGACGGUACCAGAAGAAGAAGCCCCGGCUAACUCCGUG
rnacentral:rRNA from 1 species